rnacentral:snoRNA from 1 species
AUCCUUUUGUAGUUCAAAAGCGUGAUGAUUGGGUUUUCACGCGCAUGCGUGAGAUGUGCCUCCCUCAAACCUUGUUACGACAUCGGCACAUUACCCGUCUGACG